GAAGCGGCAACAGCUCAAAUUUGAAAUCUGGCACCAGCCCGAGUUGUAAUUUGUAGAGGAUGCUUCUGGGCAGCGGCCGUUCUAAGUUCCUUGGAACAGGACGUCAUAGAGGGUGAGAAUCCCGUAUGUGACCGGCACGUACCCUCCACGUAGCUCCUUCGACGAGUCGAGUUGUUUGGGAAUGCAGCUCUAAAUGGGAGGUAAAUUUCUUCUAAAGCUAAAUACCGGCCAGAGACCGAUAGCGCACAAGUAGAGUGAUCGAAAGAUGAAAAGCACUUUGGAAAGAGAGUUAAAAAGCACGUGAAAUUGUUGAAAGGGAAGCGCUUGCAACCAGACUUCGUGGCGGUGUUCCGCCGGUCUUCUGACCGGUCCACUCGCCGCCGCGAGGCCAGCAUCGUCUGGGGCCGCCGGAUAAGACCUUGGGAAUGUAGCUCGCCUCGGUGAGUAUUAUAGCCCAUGGUGAUACGGCGCGCCCCGGGCGAGGUCCGCGCUUCGGCAAGGAUGCUGGCGUAAUGGUUGUCAGCGGCCCGUCUUGACACACGGACCAAGGAGUCUAACAUCUAUGCGAGUGUUCGGGUGUCAAACCCCUACGCGUAAUGAAAGUGAACGGAGGUGGGAAGCGCAAGCUGCACCAUCGACCGAUCCUGAUGUCCUCGGAUGGAUUUGAGUAAGAGCAUAGCUGUUGGGACCCGAAAGAUGGUGAACUAUGCCUGAAUAGGGUGAAGCCAGAGGAAACUCUGGUGGA
rnacentral:rRNA from 1 species